GAUGAACGCUAGCGGCAGGCCUAAUACAUGCAAGUCGAACGGGAUUAAGAGGCUUGCUUCUUAUGAGGGUGGCGCACGGGUGCGUAACACGUAUGCAACCUACCUUCAACUGGGGGAUAGCCUUCCGAAAGGGAGAUUAAUACCGCAUAACAUAAUUGAGUGGCAUCACUUGAUUAUCAAACGUCAGGGUUGAAGAUGGGCAUGCGUCCGAUUAGUUUGUUGGUGAGGUAACGGCUCACCAAGACUACGAUCGGUAGGGGAUCUGAGAGGAUGGCCCCCCACACUGGUACUGAGACACGGACCAGACUCCUACGGGAGGCAGCAGUAAGGAAUAUUGGUCAAUGGACGGAAGUUUGAACCAGCCAUGCCGCGUGCAGGAAGACGGUCCUCUGGAUUGUAAACUGCUUUUGUUAGGGAAGAAACUUCCGUACGUGUACGGGACUGACGGUACCUAAAGAAUAAGGAUCGGCUAACUCCGUGCCAGCCGCCGCGGUAAAAC
rnacentral:rRNA from 1 species